UUUGGCGUCGGUGUAUCGGUGGGGGUCGUCGCCGAACUCGGGCGAGGAGCCGGGCGCCGAGGACCACGCCGAGGCCGGGUUGG
rnacentral:sRNA from 1 species